rnacentral:rRNA from 1 species
UAGGGAAUCUUCGGCAAUGGGGGGAACCCUGACCGAGCAACGCCGCGUGAGUGAAGAAGGUUUUCGGAUCGUAAAGCUCUGUUGUUAAGGAAGAACGAGUGUGAGAAUGGAAAGUUCAUACUGUGACGGUACUUAACCAGAAAGGGACGGCUAACUACGUGUCAGCAGCCGCGGUAAUACGUAGGUCCCGAGCGUUGUCCGGAUUUAUUGGGCGUAAAGCGAGCGCAGGCGGUUAGAAAAGUCUGAAGUGAAAGGCAGUGGCUCAACCAUUGUAGGCUUUGGAAACUGUUUAACUUGAGUGCAGAAGGGGAGGGUGGAAUUCCAUGUGUAGCGGUGAAAUGCGUAGAUAUAUGGAGGAACACCGGUGGCGAAAGCGGCUCUCUGGUCUGUAACUGACGCUGAGGCUCGAAAGCGUGGGGAGCGAACAGG